UACGAAGGGGGCUAGCGUUGCUCGGAAUCACUGGGCGUAAAGCGCACGUAGGCGGAUCUUUAAGUCAGGGGUGAAAUCCUGGAGCUCAACUCCAGAACUGCCUUUGAUACUGGGGAUCUCGAGUCCGGAAGAGGUGAGUGGAACUCCGAGUGUAGAGGUGAAAUUCGUAGAUAUUCGCAAGAACACCGGUGGCGAAGGCGGCCAACUGGACCAUUACUGACGCUGAGGCGCGAAAGCGUGGGGAGCAAACAGGG
rnacentral:rRNA from 1 species